rnacentral:rRNA from 1 species
GACGAACGCUGGCGGCGUGCCUAAUACAUGCAAGUAGAACGCAGUUGCGAACGGGUGAGUAACGCGUAGGUAACUGCCUCAUAGCUGGGGAUAACUAUUGGAAACGAUAGCUAAUACCGCAUACUGUGAGAUGUACCUGCAUUGUAUUAGCUAGUUGGUGAGGUAAAGGCUCACCAAGACGACGAUACCUAGCCGACCAGCGAGGGUGAUCGGCGACACUGGGACAGAGGCACGGCCCAGAUGCCUACGGGAGGAAGCAGGAGGGAAGCUGGGGAAAUGGAAGAAAGGCUGACAGAGCAAGGCAGCGUGAGUGAAGAGGGUUUGCGGAUGGUAGGGCUGUAUUGUUAGAGAAGGGGUAGCUGACCAGAAAGGGACGGCUAACUACGUGCCAGCAGCCGCGGUAAUUC